GUGGCUAUAGUGUAGCGGCAGCACAAGAGAUUGUGGAUCUCUCAGUACGGGUUCAACCCCCGUUAGCCACCCCA
rnacentral:tRNA from 1 species